AAGCGGUGGAGGAUGUGGCUUAAUUCGAGGCUACGCGAAGAACCUUAUCCUAGUCUUGACAUACCUCUCUAAGUCGGUGAAAGCCGGCGAGUGGAGCAAUCCACAAUUGGUACAGGUGCUGCAUGGCUGUCGUCAGCUCGUGUCGUGAGAUGUCGGGUUAAGUCCCUUAACGAGCGAAACCCUUGUCCUUAGUUGCCAGCACGUAAUGGUGGGGACUCUAAGGAGACUGCCGGCGUUAAGCCGGAGGAAGGUGGGGAUG
rnacentral:rRNA from 1 species